UCUGUCUCUCCUUUUCUGUCUGCUUCUAACUGCCUUUCAAGCAAAUACCAUUGGAUCAUGGACAACAGAUAACUGGCUUCAUUUCACUGAAGGUUUUUCAGAACCAUGUGGUGGCAAUAUGACAGAUUGGAGGGGUGUAUUACUCAGUCCCCGGUACCCUAAUAACUACCCUAAUAACGCACAAUGCACCUGGACCAUUCACAGCACAGGGAACGCAACUGUGUCACUGAUCUUCAC